GCCUUGAGUGGGCUGUUUCUCUUAGUCUAGCUAAAUCUGUGGGAUAACUCAGAGGGAUUUUUCUCCCCGAGUCCCUGACAGCAGUGGAGCACCUCUGUGAGCACCUCAUUUCCAAAACAGCUUUUACAUAGAUGGCCAGAGAUACAAAGAAUCAUAUUCCAAAUUCACUUCGACCUCUCUCCAUCUUGAGAAGGAAACCGCCGGGCUUUUUGGUUGGUCAGUAUCCAGCUAUGCUGCCUAUUUGUGGUGCCUCUUUCAUUCUUUGUACUUUUGGUGGGAUAGUGUGCCUUUCGUACUCCAAAAAGUAAAAGAAGGAACCAGAACAAAAGAUUACUCUUUGAGCUUCAAAUGAUGACUUCGACAUCUAAUGGAUGCUCAUGGAGAAGGACGUGUUUGCUGCCUCUUCUGCCAUGAUUGUAAGUUUC